rnacentral:rRNA from 1 species
GUGGGGAAUAUUGCACAAUGGGCGCAAGCCUGAUGCAGCCAUGCCGCGUGUGUGAAGAAGGCCUUCGGGUUGUAAAGCACUUUCAGCGGGGAGGAAGGCGGUGAGGUUAAUAACCUCAUCGAUUGACGUUACCCGCAGAAGAAGCACCGGCUAACUCCGUGCCAGCAGCCGCGGUAAUACGGAGGGUGCAAGCGUUAAUCGGAAUUACUGGGCGUAAAGCGCACGCAGGCGGUCUGUCAAGUCGGAUGUGAAAUCCCCGGGCUCAACCUGGGAACUGCAUUCGAAACUGGCAGGCUAGAGUCUUGUAGAGGGGGGUAGAAUUCCAGGUGUAGCGGUGAAAUGCGUAGAGAUCUGGAGGAAUACCGGUGGCGAAGGCGGCCCCCUGGACAAAGACUGACGCUCAGGUGCGAAAGCGUGGGGAGCAAACAGG